rnacentral:rRNA from 1 species
GAUGAGCGCUGGCGGCGUGCCUAAUACAUGCAAGUCGAGCGAACGGACGAGAAGCUUGCUUCUCUGAUGUUAGCGGCGGACGGGCGAGUAAGACGUGGAUAACCUACCUAUAAGACUGGGAGAACUUCGGGAAACCGGAGCUAAUACCGGCUAAUAUUUUGAACCGCAUGGUUCAAAAGUGAAAGGCGGUCUUGCUGUCACUUAUAGAUGGAUCCGCGCUGCAUUAGCUAGUUGGUAAGGUAACGGCUUACCAAGGCAACGAUGCAUAGCCGACCUGAGAGGGUGAUCGGCCACACUGGAACUGAGACACGGUCCAGACUCCUACGGGAGGCAGCAGUAGGGAAUCUUCCGCAAUGGGCGAAAGCCUGACGGAGCAACGCCGCGUGAGUGAUGAAGGUCUUCGGAUCGUAAAGCUCUGUUAUUAGGGAAGAACAUAUGUGUAAGUAACUGUGCCCAUCUUGACGGUACCUAAUCAGAAAGCCACGGCUAACUACGUG